rnacentral:rRNA from 1 species
UUUAUUGGAGAGUUUGAUCCUGGCUCAGGACGAACGCUGGCGGCGUGCCUAAUACAUGCAAGUCGAGCGAGUCUCUUUCAGAGGCUAGCGGCGGACGGGUGAGUAACACGUAGGCAACCUGCCUCUCAGACUGGGAUAACAUAGGGAAACUUAUGCUAAUACCGGAUAGGUUUUUGGAUCGCAUGAUCCGAAAAGAAAAGAUGGCUUCGGCUAUCACUGGGAGAUGGGCCUGCGGCGCAUUAGCUAGUUGGUGGGGUAACGGCCUACCAAGG